UACGAAGGGGGCUAGCGUUGUUCGGAAUCACUGGGCGUAAAGGGCGCGUAGGCGGCUUGACAAGUCAGGUGUGAAAGCCCCGGGCUCAACCCGGGAAUUGCACUUGAUACUGUUUCGCUAGAGUCCGGGAGAGGAUAGCGGAAUUCCCAGUGUAGAGGUGAAAUUCGUAGAUAUUGGGAAGAACCACCGGUGGCGAAGGCGGCGACCUGGUCCUUGACUGACGCUGAGGCGCGAAAGCGUGGGGAGCAAACAGG
rnacentral:rRNA from 1 species